GAAGCAGUGGAACCAAGAACUGUCCAGACUUUGUGAACUUAAAUGAGCAACAAACGACUGUAGGAAACCGUGCUGAACCCUGGAGCAGGCUACUCUGUCCUCCUGCCCAGCUGUAGGCAGGACCUUACCUUCUGCCUCCCAUUGAACUGGACUACACACCUACACCCUCUCUCACCAGAACUCAAAUGAACUAAACUGAACUGCUACAUUUUCAGUUCGAUGGACUUUACUGCCUAAUUUCCCCUGGACACACACACCUCUGAGCGCACACACAGUGGCAUGUUGGAGGACUAGUCUGUUUCUUUAUCAUUUGAAUUGUGCACUUAAUUUUGUAUAGGAAUGAUAUAUUUUGAAAGGUUCUUUUAUUGCUUUAAUGGAAAUGUAAGAUUUUGUGUUUGCAUACUAUGUGGUUUGACUUUGAAUACAAUCAACUUUAUUUGGAGUGAUUGAA